rnacentral:rRNA from 1 species
UCCUCCCUCUUUCUUCGUGCUUAACACAUGCCAGUCGAACGGAAAGGCCCUGCUUUUGUGGGGUGCUCGAGUGGCGAACGGGUGAGUAACACGUGAGUAACCUGCCCUUGACUUUGGGAUAACUUCAGGAAACUGGGGCUAAUACCGGAUAGGAGCUCCUGCUGCAUGGUGGGGGUUGGAAAGUUUCGGCGGUUGGGGAUGGACUCGCGGCUUAUCAGCUUGUUGGUGGGGUAGUGGCUUACCAAGGCUUUGACGGGUAGCCGGCCUGAGAGGGUGACCGGCCACAUUGGGACUGAGAUACGGCCCAGACUCCUACGGGAGGCAGCAGUGGGGAAUAUUGCACAAUGGGCGGAAGCCUGAUGCAGCAACGCCGCGUGCGGGAUGACGGCCUUCGGGUUGUAAACCGCUUUCGCCUGUGACGAAGCGUGAGUGACGGUAAUGGGUAAAGAAGCACCGGCUAACUACGUG